AGUUGAGUAGCUCAGCGGGAGAGCGUUCCAUUAACACUGGAGAUGUCGUGAGUUCAAUCCUCACCUCGACUACCA
rnacentral:tRNA from 1 species